rnacentral:sRNA from 1 species
UAACCAACAACUCACGAAUCUGCACGGAG